AGGUUUCUGGAGGAAGGUUCGUCCGCUCCAGGUCAGUCGGGAGCUAAGGUGAGGCCGGAAGGCGUAGCCGAUGCACAGACGGUAGAGAUUCCGUCACCACCAAAAGAGUUAAGCACAGGGACACAUUUGAAGUCUCAGAGCCGGGUGUUGGUUCCGGUAGAGAUCGAGGGAAGUUAGUACCGAAGUCUGAGAUGGAAGAUGGCGAGAAAAGCUGUGUGUAUUUCUGAGGUGCCCGUACCGCAAACCGACACAGGUAGGUAGGAAGAAGAUUCUAAGGCCAACGGGAGAAGGGUUGUUAAGGAACUCGGCAAAUUGACCCCGUAACUUCGGGAGAAGGGGUGCUCCAGAGAUGGAGCCGCAGAGAAUCGGCCCAAGCAACUGUUUACCAAAAACACAGGUUUGUGCUAAAUCGAAAGAUGACGUAUACGAGCUGACGCCUGCCCGGUGCUGGAAGGUUAAGAGGAGAUGUGCAAGCAUUGAAUCGAAGCCCCAGUGAACGGCGGCCGUAACUAUAACGGUCCUAAGGUAGCGAAAUUCCUUGUCAGGUAAGUUCUGACCCGCACGAAAGGCGUAAUGAUUUGGGCACUGUCUCAACAGCCCGCCCGGCGAAAUUGUAGUACCGGUGAAGAUGCCGGUUACCCGCGACAAGACGGAAAGACCCCAUGGAGCUUUACUGUAGCCUAAUAUUGGGUUUCGAUGUUGCAUGCACAGGAUAGAUGGGACACAGGGAAACAAUCGCUUUGGCGGUUGCGGAGUGGCCGUUGGGAUACCAUCCUUGCGAUAUUGGAAUUCUAACCUGCGGCUCUGAAUCGAGUCGGGGGACAUUGUUAGGUGGGCAGUUUGACUGGGGCGGUCGCCUCCUAAAAAGUAACGGAGGCGUUCAAAGGUUCGCUCAGCUUGAACGGAAAUCAAGCAAAAGAGUGCAAACGCAGAAGCGAGCCUAACUGCGAGACUGACGGGUCGAGCAGUAACGAAAGUUGGAGUUAGUGAUCCGGUGGUAUGUGAGUGGAAAUGCCAUCGCUCAACGGAUAAAAGCUACCCUGGGGAUAACAGGCUGAUCUCCCCCAAGAGUCCACAUCGACGGGGAGGUUUGGCACCUCGAUGUCGGCUCAUCGCAUCCUGGGGCUGUAUUCGGUCCCAAGGGUUUGGCUGUUCGCCAAUUAAAGCGGUACGCGAGCUGGGUUCAGAACGUCGUGAGACAGUUCGGUCCCUAUCUGUCGUGGGCGCAGGAUAUUUGAUGGGAGCUGUCCCUAGUACGAGAGGACCGGGACGGACGUACCUCUGGCGCACCAGUUGUUCCGCCAGGAGCAUAGCUGGGCAACUACGUACGGAUCGGAUAAACGCUGAAAGCAUCUAAGCGUGAAGCCGACCCAAAGAUAAGAUAUCCCACUGAUUUGAUCAGGUAAGAUCCCUUGUAGACUACGAGGUUGAUAGGCACGAUGUGUAAGUGGAGUGAUCCAUUCAGCAAGUGUGUACUAAUAGAUCGAGGGCUUGACCAC
rnacentral:rRNA from 1 species